rnacentral:lncRNA from 1 species
CCAGGUUCCAGUGAUUCUCCUGCCUCAGCCUCCCAAGUAGCUGGGAUUAGAGGUGUGCGCCACCAUGCCUGGUUAAUUUUUGUAUUUUUAGUAGAGACGGGGUUUCACCAUGUUAGCCAGGCUGGACUUGAACUCCCAACCUCAGGUGAUCCACCCACCUUGGCCUCCCAAAGUGCUGGGAUUACAAGCAUGAGCCACCACGCCUGGCCCCGUCAGCCAUUUAACUGGUGGGGAUUCCCCGGGUGCACCUGAGGCUACUCCAAGUCAAGAGAUGAUACUGUCACACACCCCUCUGGACUCCCUCUCUCCCGACCAGGGCUAGCAGCAUGUGCAGUGCCUCCGUGAGGUUUGGAAAGACCCAUCCCUCCAGCAGAUAAAGCCCCCAGGAUGAGGGCAGGCAGAGAUGACUGUCUAUGUGACAAAAGCCCCUUCAUCCUCCCGGGGGGAGCCUGGAGAGCAGAAGCUGUGGAUUUCAGCCGCCCCUCAGCCAGGAGCUGUGUGCAGACCAUCCCCUGCACAACCACAGGCACCCACAGGUCUCCACAGUGACCUCUUCAGCACCCCCAAAGCAAGAUGAGGUCACAGCACGGGUCUCCAGCCCUGUGGCAGCCCCUUGCCAUGCAAAGGGGAGGAGGCCACCUGCAGCCCUGCUGCCUGAGGCAGGGGCAUGUACUAUUACCACCCAGGAGCACUGGACCUGGAGCAUCAGCCCAGGAGCACUCACCUGGUGUCACUGUAGUAACGGACGCGCAGAGCCGGAGAGCCAGCGUCAGAAUCCAGAUCACCAGCAUCUCCCGGGGAACGGGCCCCUGGCUGCCCAUCUUCUCUCAUCAGGAGGGACCAAGAAAUGAAGGCCUCCCAGGAAGGGAUCAGCUAUAAAAAGGACCCCAGAGAACUUUGCCUUGAAGAAGAGCAGUGCCUGUCCCAGGGUAGAGGAGACACAGGUGCUCCCAGGAUCCUCCUACAGUGCCACCUCUGGAAAUCCCUGUUCUCUGAUCAAACAGAGACCACUGAGGGGGUGAAAAGGAGACAGACAGAGAGCUGCUGCUUUUUACAAUAAACUCUGUAUUGUGCACAUGAAGACCUGGAGAUGUGCCGACUUCCUGUCCCCAAAGCCAAUCUUCCCCGCCAAGGCGACUGAGGAUUUCAAGGGCUCAGAGUUACUGCAGGAAUCCAGGUGACACCAGGAAGAGAAGGGGGAGGAGGGGAAUCGGAGGGGAUGGGUUUAAAAGGCAGAGGGGAGGCAAGAAGGGAGGGGGAUCGAAGGAAAUGAGGAGGAGGGAGACUGAGGGGGCUGCCUUUCCUUGGGGACUGGGGAACUCAUGCCCUGCCCCCACCCGCAGGGCUCCAGGGGUGAGAGAAAGGGGUGGAGAAUAAAGAAUUGGGCAGCAGGGUGAUGGGGGGAACAGCAGCUGGGGUAUUUAGGUCAGGGGGAGUCGGGGGCAGAACCGAUGAAUGGACGGGCUCAGAAGGGAGAAGAUACAAGGAAUGAGAGCAAGAGAAACGGGGAACUGGGCAACGGGGUGACGGGGAGAACAGCACCUGGGUAUCCUAAGACACAGAGGCUAUCUAUACCUUGCUAGGGACCAGGAUGUGAGGAGAGGAGGGAGGAUUUAGGGCUGGGGGACUGGGGUGCAGGAUGGAUGAAGGAACGGGGUCAAAAGGGGAGGACGUCUAAGGAAUGAGAGCAAGAGAUGCAGCAGGGAGUUAGAUCAGGAGAGGGCAGGAGAUGGGAUGGGGCUGCAGGCUGCCUCCAGGUUCAAAGUAAGAAACAGGCAGUAGGGAAUUGAGAGAAAAUAAGAACCAGGGCCAGAGACCAGGUGAAGGACGUGAGGAUUGGAGGAUCCGAGAGAGGCAAUGGCAACACGAGGGCUGAGACGGGAGGGCAGAGUAGGACCGAGAAUUGACCAAGUCUAUGUGGUUUUCACAACAACGGCGUGAGCUAUCAUACAGGAAUGCUGUACCCGUUUUGCAGGUGAGGAAACUGAGGCUCGUUACUGACUUGCCCAAGAUUCCACAGUGGAAGAGCCUGGACGUGAACUGCGUCUCCAGGUGGGUUUCAGCCAAGUUGGAAGGAGAAGGAUGGGAUUUGGGGGAACAGUCUCAUCUUGCCCAAGAACAGCAGGAGCCUGGGCUGCCCGCGUCCUGGGGCCACCUCUUGAAAUGGACGCAAUGCAGACCCUUGUGUCCGGGGCAGGGCGGAGGGGGUGGUGAAGGGGCCCCGCAGGGCUCACACUGAGGACGAGGUCAUCUCGGGUCUCUUGAUGUGCACCUGUCAGAGUCACAGUGAGGGACGGGAACGCGGAGCCACUGGUUUGGGCUGACAGGGAGGUCACUGCUGAUCCGAGCCCAGCCCCCUCCCUGCCCUGGUGGGGGUCGGGGAGGGAUUCUGGAAUGGAGGCUGGGAGAGUUCCUUGGGGUCCCCCUCUUUAGCCCCUCACCUUCAUAGUGGUGUCCACGUUCUCCAAGGCCACAUAGAAAUUUGUAUCCUUGU